CAAGAAAGUGUUCAGUUCUCACCCGGAAAAUGGAUCCUUAUGAAUAGAAAAGAAGGCCCAGAAGUGAAAGAACAGAAAAACAGAGGCUCAAAGAGGGGAAGUCAGUCACUCAGGUUUUCUACAAUGAACAUGCAUUCAUUAUUUACUUAGAAGUGUGAAAAACAGUAAAACAAACCAAAA
rnacentral:lncRNA from 1 species